CGUGACAGGGUGAAUACACACAAUUUUCCACAUAAUAGUGGUCUAGGCUGCUCCUGCUACUUUUCUUCUUCUUCUUCUUCAAGUUCAUGUUGCCCAAUCUUCUUAGAUGUGAGCCUAAAGGAAAUGGACGGGAAACAUGAACGAAUUUUUCAACGUCGGAUCACAACUCUCAACUCAACUGAAAUGCAGGAAGUUAGAACCAAGAAGCUGAGAAGGCUACGAUAAUAGAAACAUGGACUAUGAAGAUGCUGUAAAUUUUGCAGAAUUUUUACAGCGGAUGUUUAUUUGGAGAGUUCCCCCACAAACUUCAAUGAUAUUGCUCCACUUCUAUGGCUAAGAGAAUGAAGACUGUUAUAUUUCUUUUUCUCAAAGAUGAUUUGUCUACGCAAUAAGAGCAGUGAAAGUUAAUGUUUUGUAUUGGUUUCUUUCUUUUAAACUCAACUUUUCAUUCUUUCUGCAAUUUGAACUCAUGUUACCAACGACAAUGAAAUAAAUGACUGAGGUGCUUUGAGUUUUAUUUGAAGGAGGUGCUUUGAGUUAGGAUAAUAAAAU